rnacentral:tRNA from 1 species
CGGGGUGGCGAAAUCGGCAGACGCGAGGGACUUAAAAUCCCUUGGGAGUAAUCUCCCGUGCGGGUUCAAAUCCCGCCCCCGGCA